GCUGGAAUUGCUAGUAAUGGCAGGUCAGCAUACUGCCGUGAAUACGUUCCCGGGCCUUGUACACACCGCCCGUCACACCAUGAGAGUUGGGAAUACCCGAAGCCUGUGAGCCAACUAUAUAGAGGCAGCAGUCGAAGGUAGAAUCAAUGAUUGGGGUGAAGUCGUAACAAGGUACC
rnacentral:rRNA from 1 species